UACGGAGGGUGCAAGCGUUGCUCGGAAUUAUUGGGCGUAAAGGGUAGGUAGGUGGUCUCAUUUGUCUGGGGUGAAAGCCUUGAGCUUAACUCAAGAAGUGCCCCAGAAACGGUGAGACUCGAGUCCUGGAGAGGGUCGUGGAAUUCCCGGUGUAGCGGUGAAAUGCGUAGAGAUGUGGAGGAACACCGAUGGCGAAGGCAGCCCCCUGGGUCAAGAUUGACGCUCAUGCACGAAAGCGUGGGGAGCAAACAGG
rnacentral:rRNA from 1 species